rnacentral:lncRNA from 1 species
AUUGAGAUCAGUUUUUGGAAAAAGGGAAAGGGGGAUGUGAAAAAAAAAUGGGGGGGGGGGAUUAGAUUUUUCUCAUUUCAGAUUUCAUAAAUAAAAAGAAAAUUUCUUCAAACAUUUUUUUGAGAGGAUUAAUAUUCAACAGCAUAGUGAAUUGCUCAAAGGCAAAAAAAAAUAUUUUAAGUUCAUUAGACCACAUUCAUUCUGUGUCAGAAACCUAUGCUGUGUCAACUAUUUAAUCACAAUCCCAAUUUAGAGCUGAAUCCAGCUUAAAUGUUGUGUCCAUACUUGCCCC